rnacentral:lncRNA from 1 species
AGGGACACAGGGGGUGUCCCAGGGGGUGUGGGGGUGUCGGGGUGUCCCUCACCACGCAGGCGGCCUGCAGCGCCUCGCUGAGCCCCGCGGCGUUGGGCUCACACCAGAGCAUGUGGCAGCGGAAGGAGCCGGGGGCCGCGGCCGCGAUGAAGGCGAAGGAGCGAACGUCCCGGCCCACCCCCAUGAAGGACAGGAACCGCACCCGCACCUCGGCCACCACCGCCUGCGUCUGGGGGGGACAGACCCAUGGAUAGACCCACGGACAGACCCACGGACAGACCCACAGACACCACCCCCAUGAAGGACAGGAACCGCACCUGCACCUCGGCCACCACCGCCUGCGUCUGGGGGGGACAUGGGGUCAGACCCACGGACAGACCCACAGACAGACCCACAGACAGACCCAGAGCUCAGGGACAGACCCACAGACACCACCCCCAUGAAGGGCAGGAACUGCACCCGCACCUCGGCCACCACCACCUGCGUCUGGGGGGGACACACGGACACACCAUGGGGACAGCCCCAUGGACCCCAACCCCACCUCGGCCACCACCGCCUGCGUCUGGGACAGACCCACAGACAGACCCAUGGACACCAGACCCAUAGACAGACCCACGGACAGACCCACAGCUCGGGGACAGACCCACGGAGAGACCCACAGACAGCCCCACAGACAGACCCACAGACACCACCCCCAUGAAGGACAGGAACCACACACGGACCUCGGCCACCACCGCCUGCGUCUGGGGGGGGACACAGACCCACAGCUGGGGGGCAGACCCACAGACAGACCCACGGACAGACCCACAGACACCAACCCCACCUCCGCCACCACCGCCUGCGUCUGCAGGUGGACACCCACCGCCAGACCCACAGACACCACCCCCAUGAAGGACAGGAACCGCACCCGCACCUCGGCCACCACCGCCUGCGUCUGGGGGGGACAUGGGGUCAGCCCCACGGACAGACCCACAGACAGACCCACAGACAGACCCAUAGGAUCGAGCCCCACACCAGCUCACAAACACCAUCCCCACCACAGACAUCAUCCCCACCAUGGACACCAGCCCCAUGGACACCAACCCCGUGGACACCAGCCCCACCACGGACAUUAUCCCCAUGGACACCAGCCCCAUGGACAACAGCCCCACCAUGGCCACCAACUCCACCAUAGACAACAACCCCUCCAUGAACACCAACCCCGUGGCCAUCACUAUUCCCACCACAGACACCAGCCCCACCAUGGACAUUACCCCCAUGGCCACCAACCCCACAAUGGACACCAGCCCCAUGGACACCAACUCUAUGGACACCAUCCCCACCGUGGACACCAGCUCCAUGGCCACCAGCCCCACAAUGGACACCAACCCCACGGACAUCAUCCCCACUGUGGACACCAGCCCCAUGGACACCCUGGAUACCAACCCCAUGAACACCAGCCCCACCACAGACAUUAUCCCCAUGGACAUCAACCCCAUGGACACCAAGCCCUCCAUGGACACCAGCGCCAAUGGGCAUCAGCCCCAUGGACACCAACCCCACCAUAGACACCAGUCCCACAAACACCACCCCCAUCAUAGACACCAUCCCCACUAUGGCCACCAACCCCAUGGCCACCAACCCCACCAAGAACACCAGCCCCAUGGACACCAGCCCCACCAUGAACAUCAACCCAUCCAUGGACACCAACUCCACAGACACCAACCCCAUAGCCAUCACUAUUCCCACCAUGGCCACCAGCCCCAUGGACACCAACCCCAUGGACAACACCCCCAUCAUGGACACCAGCCCCACCAUGGCCACCAGCCCCAUGAACAGCAACCCCAUGGCCCCCAGCCCCACGGCCAUCACUAUCCUCAUGGCCAGCAGCUUCAUGGCCAUCACUAUCGCCAUGGCCAUCACUAUCCCCA